rnacentral:rRNA from 2 species
AGAAGGGCGGCGUGCUAUACAUGCAAGUCGAACGAGUUCUGAUUAUUGAAAGGUGCUUGCAUCUUGAUUUAAUUUUGAACGAGUGGCGGACGGGUGAGUAACACGUGGGUAACCUGCCCUUAAGUGGGGGAUAACAUUUGGAAACAGAUGCUAAUACCGCAUAAAUCCAAGAACCGCAAGGUUCUUGGCUGAAAGAUGGCGUAAGCUAUCGCUUUUGGAUGGACCCGCGGCGUAUUAGCUAGUUGGUGAGGUAACGGCUCACCAAGGCAAUGAUACGUAGCCAAACUGAGAGGUUGAUCGGCCACAUUGGGACUGAGACACGGCCCAAACUCCUACGGGAGGCAGCAGUAGGGAAUCUUCCACAAUGGACGCAAGUCUGAUGGAGCAACGCCGCGUGAGUGAAGAAGGCUUUCGGGUCGUAAAACUCUGUUGUUGGAGAAGAAUGGUCGGCAGAGUAACUGUUGUCGGCGUGACGGUAUCCAACCAGAAAGCCACGGCUAACUACGUGCCAGCAGCCGCGGUAAUACGUAGGUGGCAAGCGUUAUCCGGAUUUAUUGGGCGUAAAGCGAGCGCAGGCGGUUUUUUAAGUCUGAUGUGAAAGCCCUCGGCUUAACCGAGGAAGUGCAUCGGAAACUGGGAAACUUGAGUGCAGAAGAGGACAGUGGAACUCCAUGUGUAGCGGUGAAAUGCGUAGAUGUAUGGAAGAACACCAGUGGCGAAGGCGGCUGUCUGGUCUGUAACUGACGCUGAGGCUCGAAAGCAUGGGUAGCGAACAGGAUUAGAUACCCUGGUAGUCCAUGCCGUAAACGAUGAAUGCUAGGUGUUGGAGGGUUUCCGCCCUUCAGUGCCGCAGCUAACGCAUUAAGCAUUCCGCCUGGGGAGUACGACCGCAAGGUUGAAACUCAGAGGAAUUGACGGGGGCCCGCACAAGCGGUGGAGCAUGUGGUUUAAUUCGAAGCAACGCGUAGAACCUUACCAGGUCUUGACAUCUUUUGAUCACCUGAGAGAUCACGUUUCCCCUUCAGGGGCAAAAUGACAAGUGGUGCAGGGUUGUCUUCACCUCUAGUCCUGAGAUAUUGGGUUAAAUCCCGCAAACAGGGGAACCCUUUUGACUAGUUGCCAGCAUUUAUUUGGGCACCUAGUAAGAAUGCCCCUGAAAAACGGGGGGAAGGGGUGGA